UACGGGGGAUGCAAGCGUUAUCCGGAUUUAUUGGGUUUAAAGGGUGCGUAGGCUGUGAGGUAAGUCAGCGGUGAAAUGCCCCCGCUCAACGGGGUGAAGUGCCAUUGAUACUGCCUUGCUGGAAUGCGGAUGCCGUGGGAGGAAUGUGUGGUGUAGCGGUGAAAUGCAUAGAUAUCACACAGAACACCGAUUGCGAAGGCAUCUCACGAAUCCGCGAUUGACGCUGAUGCUCGAAAGCGUGGGUAUCAAACAGG
rnacentral:rRNA from 1 species